rnacentral:rRNA from 1 species
UACGAAGGGGGCUAGCGUUGCUCGGAAUCACUGGGCGUAAAGCGCACGUAGGCGGGUCGUUAAGUCAGGGGUGAAAUCCUGGAGCUCAACUCCAGAACUGCCUCUGAUACUGAGGAGCUCGAGUCCGGGAGAGGUGAGUGGAACUCCGAGUGUAGAGGUGAAAUUCGUAGAUAUUCGGAAGAACACCAGUGGCGAAGGCGGCUCACUGGCCCGGUACUGACGCUGAGGUGCGAAAGCGUGGGGAGCAAACAGG